rnacentral:tRNA from 2 species
GGUGGUUUUAGCUCAGUUGGUAGAGCAUCGGAUUGUGGUUCCGAGUGUCAAGGGUUCGAGCCCCUUACUCCACCC